rnacentral:rRNA from 1 species
UGAAUACGAGACGCUAAGGCGUCGAAGUAGUGUAUAUCAUACUUCCAAGAAAAGCUUGCACUGUCAUAGAUAAAAAACGCCUGUACCAUAACCGACACAGGUGGGUAGGUAGAGUAUACUAAGGGGCGCGAGAUAACUCUCUCUAAGGAACUCGGCAAAAUAACUCCGUAACUUCGGGAGAAGGAGUGCCUUAUUCGUAAGGUUGCAAUAACAAGAUCCAAGCAACUGUUUAUCAAAAACACAGGUCUCCGCUAAGUCGUAAGACGAUGUAUGGGGGCUGACGCCUGCCCAGUGCCAGAAGGUUAAAGAAGUUGGUUAGCAAUUGCGAAGCUGAUAACUGAAGCCCUGGUGAACGGCGGCCGUAACAAUAACGGUCCUAAGGUAGCGAAAUUCCUUGUCGGGUAAGUUCCGACCCGCACGAAAGGCGUAAUGAUUUGGAUACUGUCUCGGAGAGGGGCUCGGUGAAAUAGACUUGUCUGUGAAGAUGCGGACUACCUGCACCAGGACAGAAAGACCCUAUGAAGCUUUACUGUAACUUGAAAUUGAAAUUGGACUUUAUUCGCGCAGUAUAGGUGGGAGGCGUUGAUUAUAAUCUUGUGGGAUUAUUGGAGCCAUCAGUGAGAUACCACUCUUGUAAUGUUAGAUUUCUAACUUUGAAUCAUUAUCUGGUCAAAGAACAGUUUCAGGCGGGCAGUUUGACUGGGGCGGUCGCCUCCUAAACGGUAACGGAGGCGUACAAAGGUUUCCUCUGAACGGUUAGAAAUCGUAUCUAGAGUGUAAAGGCAUAAGGAAGCUUGACUGUGAGACCUACAAGUCGAGCAGGGACGAAAGUCGGUCUUAGUGAUCUGACGGUACUGAGUGGAAAGGCCGUCACUCAACGGAUAAAAGUUACUCUAAGGAUAACAGGCUGAUCUCCCCCAAGAGUUCACAUCGACGGGGAGGUUUGGCACCUCGAUGUCGGCUCAUCGCAUCCUGGGGCGGUAGUACGUCCCAAGGGUUGGGCUGUUCGCCCAUGAAAGCGGUACGCGAGCUGGGUUCAGAACGUCGUGAGACAGUUCGGUCCAUAUCCGGUGUAGGCGUUAGAAUAUUGAGAGGAGCCUUCUUUAGUACGAGAGGACCGAGAAGGACAUACCUCUGGUGUACCAGUUAUCGUGCCAACGGUAAACGCUGGGUAGCUAUGUAUGGAGUGGAUAACCGCUGAAAGCAUCUAAGUGGGAAGCCCACCUCAAGAUAAG